rnacentral:tRNA from 1 species
GGGCGGAUGGCGGAAUUGGCAUACGCGUCGGCCUUAGGAGCCGAUGGGGCAACCCUUGGAGGUUCAACUCCUCUUCCGCCCA